rnacentral:rRNA from 1 species
CGGUACCAUUAGAGAAAGCACCGGCUAAUCUCGUGCCAGCAGCCGCGGUAAUACGAGAGGUGCUAACGUUAUUCGGAAUUACUGGGCGUAAAGGGUGUGUAGACGGCGUGAUAAGUCAACUGUUAAAUUUCUCGGCCCAACCGGGAACCAGCGGUAGAAACUAUCAUGCUAGAGGGUGGAAGAGAGAAGUGGAAUUCUCGGAGUAGCGGUAAAAUGCGUAGAUAUCGAGAGGAACACCAAUGGCGAAAGCAGCUUCUUGGUCCAUUCCUGACGUUGAAACACGAAAGCGUGGGGAGCAAACAGGAUUAGAUACCCUGGUAGUCCACGCCGUAAACGAUGAGUACUAGCUGUCGGAGGUUACCCCCUUCGGUGGCGCAGCUAACGCAUUAAGUACUCCGCCUGGGGAGUACGCUCGCAAGAGU